rnacentral:rRNA from 1 species
AGCAGCCGCGGUAAUUCCAGCUCCAAUAGCGUAUAUUAAAGUUGUUGCAGUUAAAAAGCUCGUAGUUGAAUUUCGGGGUCAGUAGAUUGGUCGUGCCACUGGUAUGUACUGGUCUCACUGGCUCCUCCUUCCUGAUGAACCGUAAUGCCAUUAAUUUGGUGUUGCGGGGAGACUGGACUGUUACUUUGAAAAAAUUAGAGUGUUUAAAGCAGGCUAACGCUUGAAUACAUUAGCAUGGAAUAAUGAAAUAGGACGUUCGAUCUUAUUUUGUUGGUUUCUAAGAUUGACGUAAUGAUUAAUAGGGAUAGUUGGGGGCGAUUAGUAUUCAAUUGUCAGAGGUGAAAUUCUUGGAUUUAUUGAAGACUAACUACUGCGAAAGCAUUUGCCAAGGAUGUUUUCAUUAAUCAAGAACGAAAGUU